GAGACGCACAAUCCCGCCGCCGUCGAGC
rnacentral:sRNA from 1 species